AAACAGAAUUUGAUCCCAUCCAAUUACCCACCAUGCCAGGAGACGAAAAUGUCAAAAAACUCAUUGCAGUGCUUGCAUUUCCCUUCGCCACCCAUGCAUCUCCUCUCCUCAGUCUUGUUCAGAGGCUGUCGCCGGCGGUUCCUGAAGCAAGAUUUAUCUUCUUCAACACUGCAAAAUCCAAUAACGCCAUUUUCCUAGAAGAUGACAAGAGGUGGGAUUCUAUAAGGCCCUACAAUGUGUCUGAUGGAACGCCUGAGAAUUAUGUGUCUUCAGGGUCACCCAUGGAGCCCAUUGAGAAUUUUGCAAAGGCAACGCCGGAAAAUUUCAGGACGGCCAUGGAGACGGUGGUGGAAGAGACGGGAAUGGGAUUUAGUUGCAUUAUUACUGAUGCAUUUUAUUGGUUUGCGGCGGAUAUGGCACAAGAAUUGCAGGCCCCUUGGGUCGCAUUUUGGACUGCUGGCCCUCGUUCAGUUCUCUUGCACCUUGAUACCGAUCUAAUCAGGGGAAAUUUGAAACUUAGUAGUGGAAUCGAUGGAAAAAUGUUGGAUUUUCUUCCUGGAUUUUCUGGAAUAUGUGCUACCGACAUACCUCCUGAAAUAACCUGUGGAGACUUAAACUCGCCUAUGCCAAGAAUGUUGCAUAAAAUGGGGUUAAUGCUACCAAAAGCAACUGCUGUGGCCAUAAACUCAUUUGAAGAAAUAGAUACUGCUAUAGUGAAUUUGACCAAUUCAAGAUUUAAGAAGUUUCUCAAUAUUGGUCCCCUGGUGUUGACAUUGCCAGACCUGAAGAUUUCUGAUUCAGAAGGUUGCCUACAAUGGUUGGACAAGCAGAAACAGGAGUCUGUGGCAUAUAUUAGUUUUGGAAGUACAGUAAUGCCUCCACCUCAUGAGCUAGAAGCAUUAGCAGAAGCACUGGAGACAAGUGGGUUUCAUUUCAUUUGGUCAAUUAGAGGAAAUCCAGAGGAGAAGUUGCCAAAAGGGUUCCUGGAAAGGACCAAGGACAAGGGAAUUGUAGUUUCAUGGGCACCACAGUUAAAGAUCUUACAACAUGAAGCAACUGGGGCCUUUAUAACACAUUGUGGAUGGAACUCAGUAUUGGAGAGUAUUGUUGGUGGUGUGCCAAUGAUCUGCAGAGCAUUCUUUGGGGAUCAACGUCUGAACAUGAGGACAAUAGAAAAUGUAUGGGGGGUUGGUACAGGAAUUGGAGAUGGAGAGAUCACUAAGGAUGGUGCAAUGAAAGCAUUAGAACUUGUUUUAUCAAGUGAAGAAGGGCAAUACAUGAGACAGAAACUUGAAGACCUCAGAAAACUAGCUUUUGAUGCUGUGCAAUCUCAUGGUAGCUCUACUGCAAAUUUCGAAACAUUGACAGCAGUCAUCACCAAGUAAUAAUUCUAAUAGCAUUGAAAUGCUGUUUUAGUUUCAUUGUUCGAUUAUAAUUAUUGAAUAAUUCCAUAAGGAAAAGGGUGUUAUAAUUUUCAGUUUACGUAUGUUGAGG
rnacentral:misc_RNA from 1 species